GAGCUUCUUUUAGUUUCAUCCAACAAAGAUUUCUUAAAUCUUCACCUGAACCUGAGUAUUCUUUGUUUCCUUUAAUUAUUAGCAGGUCUACAAGUCGUCGAGGCAUCGAUGAUUGUCCAUUGUUGAAUGGGAGGGUGUGUUUGUGGGAACAGACAAACAGACAGAUUUAAGUCCGAUGAAGAUCAAUCUAACAAAGGGAACAGAAGGUGGCAGUGGAGGUGGCUUUCAUAGUCAUGAGAUGGCGCAUUUUGCCACUCGUGUGGAGAGAGAUUGCAGCUCUCUCCACCAACCUCCAUGAGAAACAAUAAAAGAAGAGAAAGGAGGACAGGAAACAACUGUUUCGGGCCUUUAAAAUCUGGUUGUCACUAGAAUUCCAGCUGAUGUCCACAUGGGAGGAGUCUGCUUUGGAGUUCCCCCUUCCUUGAUUGAACUUUCGCAUCUUUUCUUAUCAGUCUGUUCUCUGGCACCUGCAAGAUGUCUCAAUGGACAGCCCUCUCAGGCAAUCAAGCAUAAAAGUAAAUGGUUUUUUGCACAUAUUCUCUCAGCUGUGGGCACCAAUCUGAUAUGUUUUGGUUUUAAUUUUCUGGUGGAUUGUCACACUUCCCAGGACUUUAAUGUGUUUUGAUUGAUCUUCCUCAACCAACACGAUUUCUGUAGGAAACAACAUACAUAGAAUGGAUAAGCCUCGGUCCUGGCUUGAGACUGCUUAACUUGUAAGUGCUGUAGCUGGGGGAAGACACUGACUGACAUUCCCACAUGGUGCUGAAUCAGUGGAGCAGCAAAGGCUUGUGGUACAGCUCCACUGCUGCUUGAGUAAAUAAAAAAUACACACCAGAAAAGAAUCCAGUAACACGGGUAGAUGACCGGUCCAUUUUAUACGUUACAAAGCUCUAACGGCAAACAGACAGACUUGUAGAAAUUUAAUAUGCCGUAAGGAAAAAUCUCGGCCCGUGGUGGGGAAUGCUGGCCAGUAAUGCAGAACAGAGCCAAAUCAUGCAGAAAACUUGGGUACGAACUUACUGCUCCGCUCUCUUACUUGUACUGGCUAAAGGCAUUGCCUGCGCAAGUGUACACUUGAACACUGUCAUUACUUAAAACCACUCUUUAUUUUUGAAAAAUAAAAUAAUCUUUAACAUAUUUUUUAUUUUAUAAUUAAAAUUAUUAUUAUUUUAAUUUAAUCAUAACUACUCAUUCUAAAUGACUUGAUUAAUUUUUAAAAUUAUAGUAAAAGAAUACAUAUGAAUAAUCACGAUAAAAAUAGUUAUUUCAGAAUAUUUCCAUCAAACAUAUGACUUUCUUUUCUUUUUCUUCUGCUUAUUUCUUCUUCUCAAAUGGCUCGUUCCAUGUUUCGUGCACCGGCAAGCGGCAGGACUUG